UUAACUAUUAUAUAGUACUCAGACAAUAUUAUUAACAUGAGUUUUAGGUCCUCUGGCAGGCGCUGACCAGCCGAAGCCGGUGGCCCAAGGGCGGGCCUGCCAAAGCAACAAAGGUAAUGUAAACAAAGGGUGGAGUGUUACAGCGACCGAGCGAACCCAGCCGCAUGUAUGACUCUUUAAUGAUCCUUCCGCAGGUUCACCUACGGAAA
rnacentral:misc_RNA from 1 species